rnacentral:rRNA from 1 species
AUGGAGGUGCUGGCCGGAGGAGGCCGCGGCUGCCUCAUGCAUGCGCUACUUCUUGUUGGUGCCGCCCUUGUUGCAUUGACGGGCGGCGCGGAGGCGUGGGCGCACCACGGCGCCGCCGGUGCGAGGGCCGGCGCCGAGCGGCGGUACAGGGAUCUCGCGGCGGGCAGGAUGGAGAGCGUCAGAUCCUCCUUCGGCAAGGCCAGGAGGGGGCUUGCAACGUCCUCGGCGAGCUCGCGGGUGUACCACGUCACGGACUACGGCGCCGACCCCACCGGCGCCGCCGACGCCACGGCGGCCAUCAAGAAGGCCAUCGCCGACGCCUUCAGCCCCCCCUCCAACGCCACCAUGGCCGCCGGCAUCCCCGACCUCGGCGGCGCCGAGAUCCACCUCGACGGCGGCACCUACCUCGUCAACGGCCCACUCACCCUGCCGGCCUCCGGCGGCGGCAACUUCAAGAUCCACAGCGGCUCGCUGCGGGCGUCGGCGGAGUUCCCGACGGACCGGUACCUGAUCGAGCUGUCGGCGGGCUCGUCGGCGUCGAGCUACCACUACGAGUACGUGACGCUGCGCGACCUGAUGCUGGACUGCAACUACCGGGGCGGCGGCGUGGAGGUGGUGGACUCGCUGCGCGUCGGCGUCGACAACUGCUACAUCACCCACUUCGAGACGGAGGGCAUCGCGGUGCGCGGCGGCCACGAGACGUACAUCCGCAACACCUUCCUGGGCCAGCACAUGACCGCCGGCACCGACCCCGGGGAGCGCUCCUUCGGCGGCACGGCCAUCCGGCUCGACGGCAACGACAACUCCGUCUCCGACGUGGUGGUCUUCUCCGCGGCGACCGGGAUCAUGGUCACCGGCGGCGCCAACACCAUCUCCGGCGUGCACUGCUACAACAAGGCCACCGGGUUCGGCGGCACGGGGAUCCACCUCAGGGUGCCCGGGCUCACGCAGACGUGGCUCACCAACUGCUACAUGGACUACACCAGCAUCGUGGCCGAGGACCCCGUGCUGCUGCACGUGUCGGGCUCCUUCUUCCUCGGCGACGCCAACGUGGUGCUCAAGGCGGUCAACGGCGUCGCCCGCGGCGUGCAGAUCACCGGCAACAUGUUCAACGGGCGGGGCAAGGGCGUGGACAUCGUGCAGCUGGACGGCGCCUUCGGGACGGUGGAGCAGGUGUACGUGCAGCAGAACUCCGCCAUGGGGAUGAACCUCAAGGCCACCACGGCGCGCGGCUCCGCCGAGGGCAACGGUAGCUCCUGGACCGUCGACUUCGCGCCGGUGCUGCUGUUCCCGGACCGGAUCGGGCACGUGCAGUACUCGCUCGUCGCCGGCGACGCGUUCCCCGGGCACACGCUCAGGAACAUCUCCGGCAACCAGGUCGUCGUGGCCACCGACAAGGCCGUGUCCGCCACCGUGCACGUGCUCGUCGACCAGAACAGCAACUGA